UACGUAGGGUCCGAGCGUUGUCCGGAAUUAUUGGGCGUAAAGGGCUCGUAGGCGGUUUGUCGCGUCGGGAGUGAAAACUCAGGGCUUAACCCUGAGCCUGCUUCCGAUACGGGCAGACUAGAGGUAUGCAGGGGGAGAACGGAAUUCCUGGUGUAGCGGUGAAAUGCGCAGAUAUCAGGAGGAACACCGGUGGCGAAGGCGGUUCUCUGGGCCGUAACUGACGCUGAGGAGCGAAAGCAUGGGGAGCGAACAGG
rnacentral:rRNA from 1 species